AGUCCAGCUGGCUUCACCUCUCAUUGAGUUUGCAGGAUGGCAGGCUUAUGGGUGUCCUACGAUCUGCCAUUUGUUUGGAAGCUGGAGAACCAAGAAAGCUGGUAGUCUUGCUCCAGUCCAAGCUCAAAGACCUGAAAACAGGGGAGCCAACAGUGUAAACCCCAGUGUGAAGUCCAAAGGCUUGAGAACCAGGAGGGCCAAUGGUGUAAGUUGCGAGUCUGAGUCUGAAGGCUGGAGAACCAGAAGCACCCGUAUCUGAGGUGGGGAGAAGACCGAUGUUCCAUUUCAAGUACCUUUUGUGGUUUCCCUACAUCCUGUUCACAAUUCUGUGAGGAGCCCCUUGAUAUAAACUGCGCUUGAAUCAUCCCAGUUGACGUGUGUGUCAACUGUUUCCUGCUGGGACUCUUGAUAUUCCAACUUCCUGAACAUGCUACUCCCAGGUCCAGCGCACAGUACCGCAGAGCAGCUGUCUUUUCUCACUCAAACUGGGAGCUCCUAUGAUCUUAUUUCCCUCAGUCUCCAGGGGAUCAUGGGCCCGUGACAUGGCAGAAAUCAGAGAAAUACUUGGUAAGUGAAUGAAUGAUUUCCGUAUGGCCUUUAUUAAUUGCUUGGGUUUAGAACAUCAUCACGUCUUUACUUGGCUUUCCCUUAAAACUCUCAGGAGCACAUGAUGUACUCAGGGACUCUGGAGGGAGCUCUGAACCUGCAGUAAACGUUGACACACACUGACAUUUUCUGGGCAGCCCUCACUCAGAGACCCUGGGAUGCCUGAGGAACAAGUUUGGCCGUGGGGCUCCAGGCCACUGAAAGGCAUCAAGUCCAACCUUCUGGCUGAAGGAAUCAUGAUUUGGAAAAAGGAACAUC
rnacentral:lncRNA from 1 species